rnacentral:rRNA from 1 species
CCUACGGGAGGCAGCAGUGAGGAAUAUUGCGCAAUGGGGGCAACCCUGACGCAGCGACGCCGCGUGAGUGAGGAAGGCCUUCGGGUCGUAAAGCUCUGUCAAAGGGGAAGAAGUGCAUGGUGGUUAAUAUCUGUCAUGUUUGACGGUACCCUUAAAGGAAGCACCGGCUAACUCCGUGCCAGCAGCCGCGGUAAUACGGAGGGUGCAAGCGUUGUUCGGAAUCACUGGGCGUAAAGGGCGCGCAGGCGGUUUGAAUAGUCAGAUGUGAAAGCCCACGGCUUAACCGUGGAAGUGCAUUUGAAACUGUCAGACUUGAGUACCAGAGGGGAAAGUGGAAUUCCCGGUGUAGAGGUGAAAUUCGUAGAUAUCGGGAGGAAUACCGGUGGCGAAGGCGACUUUCUGGCUUGAUACUGACGCUGAGGCGCGAAAGCGUGGGGAGCAAACAGGCUUAGAUACCCCUGUAGUC